CUACGGGUGAAAGCGGGGGAUCGCAAGACCUCGCGUUAUUGGAGCGGCCGAUAUCAGAUUAGCUUGUUGGCGGGGUAAAAGCCCACCAAGGCGACGAUCUGUAGCUGGUCUGAGAGGACGACCAGCCACACUGGGACUGAGACACGGCCCAGACUCCUACGGGAGGCAGCAGUGGGGAAUUUUGGACAAUGGGCGCAAGCCUGAUCCAGCCAUGCCGCGUGUGGGAAGAAGGCCUUCGGGUUGUAAACCACUUUUGUCAGGGAAGAAACGGCUCUUACUAAUAUUAGGAGCUAAUGACGGU
rnacentral:rRNA from 1 species